GCUCUCUGGCAACACAUACCCUAAAACUGGAGCAAUACAGAGAAGAUUAGCAUGGGCCCUGUGCAAGGAUGACAUAAAAAUUCAUGAAGUGUUCCAUAUUUUU
ensembl:snRNA Gm22296 predicted gene, 22296